rnacentral:rRNA from 1 species
UUUUUGAAGAUAAUUUAAAGUAUGGCCUGCCCMCUGAAUAAAAUUUAAAGGGCCGCAGUAUUUUGACUGUGCAAAGGUAGCAUAAUCAUUAGUUUUUUAAUUGAAAGCUGGAAUGAAUGGUUUAAUGAAAAAAUAACUGUCUCAAAUUAAAUAAUUAGAAUUUUAUUUUUAAGUAAAAAAGCUUAAAUGGAUUUAAAAGACGAGAAGACCCUAUAGAGUUUAACUUUACUUAAAUAUUAUAUAUUUAGAAUUUAAUUUAAAUAUUAUUAUUUAAAGUUUAAUUGGGGUGAUUAAAAAAUUAAAUAAACUUUUUUUAUUUUUUAACAUUAAUUUAUGAAAAUUUGAUCCAUUAUUUUGAUUAAAAGAUUAAAUUACCUUAGGGAUAACAGCGUAAUUUUUUUUAAAAGUUCAAAUUAAAAGAAAAGAUUGCGACCUCGAUGUUGGAUUAAAAUUAAAUUUUGGUGUAGAGGCUAAGAUUUUAGGUCUGUUCGACCUUUAAAAUUUUACA